AGCUGUACCAAGGCCUGGCAUAGGGCCCAGACUGGGUAAACUAUCAGACCAGCUGAGUUAAUUUCUGUAACUAAUUGAUCACAACCAGUUACAGGUUCCUUUGUUCCUUCUCCACUCCCACUGUUUCAUUUGACCAGCUUAAA
rnacentral:sRNA from 1 species